UCCGGUUUGACACCGGCAGUCUCGCUAGAGUACUCAGCAUUACCUGUGAGCAACUAACGACAGGGGUUGCGCUCGUUAAGGGACUUAACCCGACACUUCACAGCACGAGCUGACGACAGCCAUGCAGCACCUGUGCACGUUCCGGCCUUGCGGCUGUGGCUCCUCUUUCAAGGAGUUAAUACGUACAUGUCAAGCCCAGGUAAGGUUCUUCGCGUUGCCUCGAAUUAAGCAACAUGCUCCACCGCUUGUGUGAGCCCCCGUCAAUUCAUUUGAGUUUUAGCCUUGCGACCGUACUCCCCAGGCGGUACACUUAUCGUUUUUACUGCGACUGAUACGGCGUCAAAACCGCACCAGUCUAGUGUACAUCGUUUACGGCGUGGACUAC
rnacentral:misc_RNA from 1 species